rnacentral:rRNA from 1 species
GCGUGAGUGAUGAAGGCCUUAGGGUUGUAAAGCUCUUUCGCACGCGACGAUGAUGACGGUAGCGUGAGAAGAAGCCCCGGCUAACUUCGUGCCAGCAGCCGCGGUAAUACGAAGGGGGCAAGCGUUGUUCGGAAUUACUGGGCGUAAAGGGCGCGCAGGCGGCCUUAGUAGUCAGGCGUGAAAGCCCCGGGCUUAACCUGGGAAUUGCGCUUGAUACUCUGAGGCUUGAGUUCGGGAGAGGUGAGUGGAAUUCCCAGUGUAGAGGUGAAAUUCGU